rnacentral:rRNA from 1 species
AUUGAACGCUGGCGGCAUGCCUUACACAUGCAAAUCGAACGGUAACGGGCCUUCGGGUGCCGACGAGUGGCGAACGGGGGAGUAAUACAUCGGAACGUGCCCGAUCGUGGGGGAUAACGAGGCGAAAGCUUUGCUAAUACCGCAUACGAUCUACGGAUGAAAGCAGGGGACCGCAAGGCCUUGCGCGGACGGAGCGGCCGAUGGCAGAUUAGGUAGUUGGUGGGAUAAAAGCUUACCAAGCCGACGAUCUGUAGCUGGUCUGAGAGGAUGAUCAGCCACACUGGGACUGAGACACGGCCCAGACUCCUACGGGAGGCAGCAGUGGGGAAUUUUGGACAAUGGGCGCAAGCCUGAUCCAGCAAUGCCGCGUGCAGGAUGAAGGCCUUCGGGUUGUAAACUGAUUUUGUACGGAACGAAAAGCCUUCUUUUAAUACAGGAGGGUCAUGACGGUACCGUAAGAAUAAGCACCGGCUAACUACGUG